GGUUGUAUCAAGCAGAUGAAUAUCAUUUGAAUUAAAUGCCUGGGAAUGGUAUCUGUUAUUAAAUAAACUUUUCCUGGCAUGGAUUCAGCUGCUGAGUAAUGACUUCUCUUUCUGAUAAGCAGGUGCCCAGCAAUGUACUCAUUUGAAGAUUCUUAUUUUGAAUUUGGAAGUUUUAUCUCUAAACAGGAAAAAUUCCAGACUAUAGUGCUGGCAUCUGGCCCGUUUUUUCAAAUGUGGGAUCAUCAGUCAAUCAAUAAGCUGUGUGGCACAGCACUGCACAUAUGGCAGCCCCUUCAAAGGCUUAUGGCCUAUGUCAACAUGCUUCUUACAUCUAAAAUAUCAAGAUCAGGAGCCAGAAACCACUGGACAUUCUGCUAAAGGACUACUCAGAUUUGAGGGAAGGACAAGAAAGGAAAAGAGGAGAGCAUGAGGACAAGAAUCAGUAGCUUCUGGGCGAAGGUUGUUGGAGGAUAGAGAACACCAGUUAUUGGGAGAAAUAUCUAGAAACUUUGUCCUUGUUUGUAUGUCUAUGUGUAUAUAGGUAUACGCAUCCAUGUGAUGAUGUAUUAAAUUGCACAAAAGAUUGUGACAUUUAAAAAAGUUUAAGAGACAUAGUUCCUGGGUAAUUUACUCAUU
rnacentral:lncRNA from 1 species